rnacentral:rRNA from 1 species
UACGUAGGGACCAAGCGUUGUUCGGAUUUACUGGGCGUAAAGGGCGCGUAGGCGGCGAAUCAAGUCAGCUGUGAAAUCUCCGAGCUUAACUCGGAACGGUCAGCUGAUACUGUUUUGCUAGAGUGCAGAAAGGGCAACCGGAAUUCUUGGUGUAGCGGUGAAAUGCGUAGAUAUCGUAAGGAAGACCAGUGGCGAAGGCGGGUCUCUGGACAGUUCCUGACGCUGAGGCACGAAGGCCAGGGGAGCAAACGGG